AGCGAAUAGAUACCCCGGUAGUCCUGGCCCUAAACGAUGUCGACUAGAUCGUAGAACCUCUGACGGUUUUAUGGUCGAAAGCAAAAAAGUGCUAAGUCGACCGCCUGGGAAGUACGGUCGCAAGGCUAAAACUCAAAGGAAUUGACGGGGGCUCACACAAGCGGUGGAGCAUGUGGUUUAAAUUCGAAGCAACGCGCAGAACCUUACCUGGGCUUGACAUGCUAGGAUUAUCCCUGUGAAAGCAGGGUACGCCUUCGGGUGGAACUAGCACAGGUGCUGCAUGGCUGUCGUCAGCUCGUGUCGUGAGAUGUCGGGUUAAGUCCCUUAACGAGCGAAACCUUUGCCCUUAGUUACCAGCGGGUUAUGCCGGGGACUCUAAGGGGACUGCCGGUGUCAAACCGGAGGAAGGUGGAGAUGACGUCAAGUCCUCAUGGCCUUUAUGCCCAGGGCCACACACGUGCUACAAUGGGGUGCACAGAGCGAACCGAGAGCGCAAGCUGGAGGAAAGUACGCAU
rnacentral:rRNA from 1 species